UACGUAGGGUGCAAGCGUUGUCCGGAAUUAUUGGGCGUAAAGAGCUCGUAGGCGGUUUGUCGCGUCUGCUGUGAAAACUCGGGGCUUAACCCCGGGCCCGCAGUGGGUACGGGCAGACUAGAGUGCGGUAGGGGAGACUGGAAUUCCUGGUGUAGCGGUGAAAUGCGCAGAUAUCAGGAGGAACACCGGUGGCGAAGGCGGGUCUCUGGGCCGUAACUGACGCUGAGGAGCGAAAGCGUGGGGAGCGAACAGG
rnacentral:rRNA from 1 species